rnacentral:rRNA from 1 species
GAGUGCGAUCAUACCAGCACUAACGCACCGGAUCCCAUCAGAACUCCGCAGUUAAGCGUGCUUGGGCGAGAGUAGUACUAGGAUGGGUGACCCCCUGGGAAGUCCUCGUGUUGCACCCN